UACAGAGGUCUCAAGCGUUGUUCGGAUUCAUUGGGCGUAAAGCGCGCGUAGGCGGUUCGGAAAGUCGGAUGUGAAAACCCGGAGCUCAACUCCGGGCCUGCAUCCGAUACUCCCGGACUAGAGGUAGGUAGGGGAGAUCGGAAUUCCUGGUGUAGCGGUGAAAUGCGCAGAUAUCAGGAGGAACACCGGUGGCGAAGGCGGAUCUCUGGGCCUUACCUGACGCUCAGGCGCGAAAGCUAGGGGAGCGAACAGG
rnacentral:rRNA from 1 species